UACGGGGGGGGCAAGCGUUGUUCGGAAUUACUGGGCGUAAAGGGCUCGUAGGCGGCCAACUAAGUCAGACGUGAAAUCCCUCGGCUUAACCGGGGAACUGCAUCUGAUACUGGAUGGCUUGAGUUCGGGAGAGGGAUGUGGAAUUCCAGGUGUAGCGGUGAAAUGCGUAGAUAUCUGGAGGAACACCGGUGGCGAAGGCGGCAUCCUGGACCGACACUGACGCUGAGGAGCGAAAGCCAGGGGAGCAAACGGG
rnacentral:rRNA from 1 species